GAAAAUCCUGUUAAUUCAGGUUAAGUUUUUUUUAUUUGUGCUAAAUUACGACCAACCAUUUUCCUCGCAUCGUAUUUUCCUUGCAAAUUCUUCCUGGGGGUUGUUACACUCAGAAAGUACGGAGCAGGAGGCAGCCCACCAACAAAGGAACCUGAGGGACGGCGAUUUUGGCAAAUAACAAGUUGGACAUACCUCAUGGACCUGCAGUUUGGUGGAGUGUCUCAUGCUCCGCUAUAAGUUACAGUUACGAGUUAUGAGUUGAAGUAGGAAGUAAAGAGGAAUUACUUUGCUGAGCUUAUCCUUUUCUUCAAUACUGACUAGGGUAUUAUUAGGGAUUGCAUUACCAACUCAAUCAUUACCCGCCAAUUCAGGUUAUCACAUAAUUUAGCAAUGCAUAUUAUAUAGCAUAACUCAAUAUAUAUAUUUUUGUUUUAA